rnacentral:rRNA from 1 species
GUACACGCUGUGACUAGCAUAUCAAUAAGCGGAGGAAAAGAAACUAAUUAGGAUUCCCUCAGUAACGGCGAGUGAAGCGGGAAGAGCUCAAAUUUGAAAUCUUCAAGGUUCUACCUUGACGAAUUGUAGUUUAAAGAAGUGUUUUCUGUUGGAGUUUUGGUAAAAGUUCUUUGGAAUAGGACAUCAUAGAGGGUGAGAAUCCCGUAUUUGACCAUUAUUUCCAGCUUUGUGAUACACUUUCAAAGAGUCGGAUUGUUUGGGAAUGCAGUCCAAAAUGGGUGGUAAAUUUCAUCUAAAGCUAAAUAUUGGCGAGAGACCGAUAGCGAACAAGUACCGUGAGGGAAAGAUGAAAAGAACUUUGAAAAGAGAGUUAAACAGUACGUGAAAUUGUCAAAAGGGAAGCGUUUGACACCAGUGUUGUUUUCUCGAAAAUCAAUUAAAAAAGGCAGGAUUUUGUGUUGUAUUGACUUUAUCAGCUUUCUGCACUCUUUUCUUGUCUUUUUUAAUGCACUUUUCGUUUAACAAGUCAACAUCAAUUUCUUUUGUUGUAAAAGGGUCAUUGGAAGGUGGCUUGCUUUUCGGAGAAAGUGUUUAUAGCCUUUGAUCUCUGCAAUCGGAGAGACUGAGGUCUGCAGCGUAGAUCCUUCGGGGUUAGAUACAUUUGUGCUAAGUUAUAGCCUUUCAUAGACAACUUGUUGACUAUGAUCAGUCAUGUAGCUUACUCGCUUAUGCUAUUUUACCUACGCUUAGGAUGUUGAAGACUCUACAGAGAUA